rnacentral:rRNA from 1 species
UUCGGAUGGAAUCCAAAUUGACUGAGUGGCGGACGGGUGAGUAACGCGUGGGUAACCUGCCUCACACUGGGGGACAACAGCUGGAAACGGCUGCUAAUACCGCAUAAGCGCACAGCUUCGCAUGGAGCAGUGUGAAAAACUCCGGUGGUGUGAGAUGGACCCGCGUCUGAUUAGCUAGUUGGUAAGGUAACGGCUUACCAAGGCGACGAUCAGUAGCCGACCUGAGAGGGUGACCGGCCACAUUGGGACUGAGACACGGCCCAAACUCCUACGGGAGGCAGCAGUGGGGAAUAUUGCACAAUGGGGGAAACCCUGAUGCAGCGACGCCGCGUGAGUGAAGAAGUAUUUCGGUAUGUAAAGCUCUAUCAGCAGGGAAGAAAAUGACGGUACCUGACUAAGAAGCCCCGGCUAACUACGUGCCAGCAGCCGCGGUAAUACGUAGGGGGCAAGCGUUAUCCGGAUUUACUGGGUGUAAAGGGAGCGUAGACGGCGAAGCAAGUCUGAAGUGAAAGCCCGGGGCUCAACCGCGGGACUGCUUUGGAAACUGUUUUGCUAGAGUGCUGGAGAGGUAAGUGGAAUUCCUAGUGUAGCGGUGAAAUGCGUAGAUAUUAGGAGGAACACCAGUGGCGAAGGCGGCUUACUGGA